UUACAAGGUUUUCUGGAAAAAAAUGUCUGAAAUUGAUAAGCUGCUCACACUAGAAAGGCCUGAACAGCUAACCACUCAGGCUGGUUCAU